UCUUACUGCUCACUGGCUAAAGGUGCGACGUCCUGUCGCAACGCCAGUACUAGCACGUCCUGAGCG
rnacentral:sRNA from 1 species